CCCUACGGGUGGCUGCAGUGGGGAAUCUUAGACAAUGGGGGCAACCCUGAUCUAGCCAUGCCGCGUGAGUGAUGAAGGCCUUAGGGUUGUAAAGCUCUUUCAGCUGGGAAGAUAAUGACGGUACCAGCAGAAGAAGCCCCGGCUAACUCCGUGCCAGCAGCCGCGGUAAUACGGAGGGGGCUAGCGUUGUUCGGAAUUACUGGGCGUAAAGCGCAUGUAGGCGGACUGGAAAGUUGGGGGUGAAAUCCCGGGGCUCAACCUCGGAACUGCCUUCAAAACUAUCAGUCUGGAGUUCGAGAGAGGUGAGUGGAAUUCCGAGUGUAGAGGUGAAAUUCGUAGAUAUUCGGAGGAACACCAGUGGCGAAGGCGGCUCACUGGCUCGAUACUGACGCUGAGAUGCGAAAGCGUGGGGAGCAAACAGGAUUAGAUACCCCAGUAGUCCGU
rnacentral:rRNA from 1 species